rnacentral:rRNA from 1 species
ACGGGAGGCAGCAGUGAGGAAUAUUGGUCAAUGGGCGGAAGCCUGAACCAGCCAAGUCGCGUGAAGGAUGAAGGUAUUAUGUAUUGUAAACUUCUUUAGCUGUGGAGCAAUAAUCGCCAUGCAUGGCGAGAUGAGAGUACACAGAGAAUAAGGAUCGGCUAACUCCGUGCCAGCAGCCGCGGUAAUACGGAGGAUCCGAGCGUUAUCCGGAUUUAUUGGGUUUAAAGGGUGCGCAGGCGGCCCGUUAAGUCAGCGGUGAAAUGUCGGGGCUCAACCCGGGCACUGCCGUUGAAACUGGGGGGCUUGAGUACGGAUGAGGUCGGCGGAAUGUGACGUGUAGCGGUGAAAUGCAUAGAUAUGUCACAGAACACCGAUUGCGAAGGCAGCCGGCCAAUCCGCAACUGACGCUCAUGCACGAAAGCGUGGGGAUCGAACAGGAUUAGAUACCCUGGUA